GGACGGGGCAGUUAUGUGGCAGCUCUUCCCUGACUCAUUCACCUCUUGCCUUCAUUUGUGAAGGGACGAAAGACUGGAGAGGGUCAAUGUGCAACUGAAGCUACUGAUUGUGCUGUGUGAUGAGCAUCAAUCCAUGCUUUGAGGGGGAUGAAUCAGCACAGCCCUGCCUGCUCUGCGUUGGGAACAAAAGUUGCAUCCAGAAUUUUUGCAUCAUUCUGGACCAAAAAGCCAUUCCCUCCAUGAUGAAGACCACUGAUGCAGCCUUCCACUACUGUACAUCAUGAGUGAAACAACUACAGAACUAAAUACCAGGUUGGAACGUGUUUAAGAAAAAUGAAACGUCUUUUGAAUUGAAAUGUCUUGUUAUGGAAAAAUCGUUAGUUUUGUGAAGGAUAAGCAUUUCUGCUUGCCGAUAAGGUAAUUGCAUGUAUUUUAAUGUUCAAGUUUUGAGUAGGGUGGCUAAUUUUUUUUAACUCUCAUUUGAUUUAUUAAAGACUUUAUAAUAAGUGGUUUUCAUGUCACUGCGCUGUGGUAUAAGAUAACUUUCAUUAUUCCAUACUGUAUUCUGUUUCUAAUUGUAGCUGAGGUAUUUAAAUAAGCAGUGUUAAAUGCAAAGUGUUGUGUGUAUCAAUGUAAAUAUUAAAUGUGAUGUACUUUAAUAAAAAGAGGUUUUGCAAUA